GGGCGUGUGGCUCAGUUGGUAGAGCGUUCGCUUAGCAGCUUCUUUCCUUUCCCAUCCUAGGGGAUUAUAUAGAAGAAUUCCUGCGAAAGGUCCUGGGUUCGAUUCCCAGCUCGUCCA